CCUACGGGCGGCAGCAGUGGGGAAUAUUGCACAAUGGGGGAAACCCUGAUGCAGCGACGCCGCGUGAGCGAAGAAGUAUUUCGGUAUGUAAAGCUCUAUUAGCAGGGAAGAAAAUGACGGUACCUGACUAAGAAGCUCCGGCUAAAUACGUGCCAGCAGCCGCGGUAAUACGUAUGGAGCACGCGUUAUCAGGAUUUACUGGGGGUAAAGGGAGGGUAGGAGGUGAGGCAAGUCUGAUGUGAAAGGCCAGGGCUCAACCCUGGAAGUGCAGUGGAAACUGUUUAACUGGAGUGUCGGAGAGGCAUGUGGAAUUCGUAGUGUAGCGGUGAAAUGCGUAGAUAUUAGGAGGAACGCCGGUGGCGAAGGCGGCUUGCUGGACGAUGACUGACGCUGAGGCACGAAAGCGUGGGGAGCGAACAGGAUUAGAUACCCUAGUAGUC
rnacentral:rRNA from 1 species